rnacentral:lncRNA from 1 species
GCGGGUGGUCACGGGUUAAUUUAUAACAUACACCAAACCUCAAGCCUUACCUGUACCCUUUCCCGGACAUCUAUUUGGAAAUCUGUUAACUUGGAAUAUAAGAUCACUGAAAAGAUUUCUGUCAUAAUUGACACAGAUCAUAUGAAAAGACACCAGCAAAAGACUAGUUUGAAAACUAUAUUAAUACCAGUACUCAUCGUAUUUCUUAUUUUACAGAAAGUGUCCACUUUUCCACAGCCAGAUGAUACACAAUAACUACCUUAACCCCCAACAUGGGAGCUGAUGAAUAAGCCUUAAUGGAAUGAAUGAGUGAAUCUCAUGGGGAUCACAUGCAGCCUAAAGUUAAAUCUGCCAUAAAAAAUCAUCCUCUUAUGAAACCGUCCAGACUCCCCUUUUCCCGGCUUCCUGACCUCUCCUUUCUGUCCAGCUUUCCUCUGUGGGCGGUGCCUUCCACCAAGUCUCAUUUUCUCCAAGAGCGCUGUUCUGCCUUCCUCUCCUCAUGGCACAUUUUUUGCCUGGACACACUUUUGGCUUGUAUGUAGCCUGAAAUUGUUCCUUUUCUGUUUAUUGCAAGCAUCUUUUAUUUCCUGAGGUAUAAUUCAGUGUCUUAUGGACCCCAGUCUGUGUCUGUGCCAGUGGCUUAAUGAGCAUAAGCCUUAAGACCAUUUUUCCUGAGACAGCAGUCAUAUUGCCUCCUUCUCUUUUGAGCCAAAAACAAGAGAAUAGGGCCUAGUAUUCACAUAAAGAAGGAGAUUUAUUCCUACCAAAUAUUUAGUGCCUUUAAAAGCUAAGUGACCAAGUGGCAUUUAGGAUUUACCACCCAGGAGAGUGGUACUAAUAAUUGGGCUUGAUAGAUAUAGUCUUUGGUAAAGGCCAUAAUUAAACAAAAAUGAUAUCCAAAGAUUUAUUUUCCAUUUUAAGAAUCACCUGAUGUUCUACUCCUUGAAACAAACAAAAUGGUUUUGUUUUUCCCUCUGAACAAAAGUGCAAUCUACAAUAAUUUUUAAGACACACAGGUUUUGUAAAUAAUAUGAAUCUGUACAAAAAGUAAAGAGAACCCUCCAGGAAAGAUGUUUUUGCCUUAUGUAGGUAUCUUUGAAGGUCAACAAGAGAUUAUCUGAAAACCUAGGAACAUAGAGCUGAACAAUUUUAAGAGGGCUUAAAAUAUUAUUUCCUUUCACUUCUCUAUGAGAAAAUAAAACUUUAGCUUUUCAGCUCUAUCCA